AGCGAACGCUGGCGGCAGGCCUAACACAUGCAAGUCGAACGAAGCCUUCGGGCUUAGUGGCGGACGGGUGAGUAACACGUGGGAACGUACCUUUUGGUUCGGAACAACUCAGGGAAACUUGAGCUAAUACCGGAUGAGCCCUUAGGGGGAAAGAUUUAUCGCCGAAAGAGCGGCCCGCGUUAGAUUAGCUAGUUGGUGAGGUAAAGGCUCACCAAGGCUACGAUCUAUAGCUGGUCUGAGAGGAUGAUCAGCCACACUGGGACUGAGACACGGCCCAGACUCGUACGGGAGGCAGCAGUGGGGAAUCUUGCGCAAUGGGCGAAAGCCUGACGCAGCCAUGCCGCGUGAAUGAUGAAGGUCUUAGGAUUGUAAAAUUCUUUUACCAGGGACGAUAAUGACGGUACCUGGAGAAAAAGCCCCGGCUAACUUCGUGCCAGCCGCCGCGGUAAUAC
rnacentral:rRNA from 1 species